GGAGAGUUGGCAGAUUAGUGCAUUGAGUUUAAGCCUCAAAUAAGAGUUUAAUCACUCUCCU
rnacentral:tRNA from 1 species